rnacentral:rRNA from 1 species
CAUUGAUCGGUACGGGUUGUGAGAGCAAGAGCCCGGAGAUGGAUUCUGAGACACGAAUCCAGGCCCUACGGGGCGCAGCAGGCGCGAAAACUUUACAAUGCGAGAAAUCGUGAUAAGGGAACCCCGAGUGCCCGUAAAUUCGGGCUGUCCGCCAGUGUAAAUAACUGGUGAAGAAAGGGCCGGGCAAGACCGGUGCCAGCCGCCGCGGUAAUACCGGCGGCUCGAGUGGUGGCCACUAUUACUGGGCUUAAAGCGUCCGUAGCUGGAUUGUUAAGUCUCUUGGGAAAUCCACCGGCUCAACCGAUGGGCGUUCAGGAGAAACUGGCAAUCUAGGGACCGGGAGAGGUGAGAGGUACUCCAGGGGUAGGAGUGAAAUCCUGUAAUCCUUGGGGGACCACCUGUGGCGAAGGCGUCUCACUAGAACGGCUCCGACAGUGAGGGACGAAAGCUGGGGGAGCAAACCGGAUUAGAUACCCGGGUAGUCCCAGCUGUAAACGAUGCGCGUUAGGUGUAUCGGUGACCACGAGUCAUCGAGGUGCCGAAGGGAAACCGUGAAACGUG